rnacentral:tRNA from 1 species
GGUUUGUUGCUCAGUGGUAGAGCACUUGCCUUGCAUGUGUGAGGCACUGGGUUCAAUCCUCAGCACCA